rnacentral:rRNA from 1 species
GAUGAACGCUGGCGGCGUGCCUAAUACAUGCAAGUCGAGCGAACAGACGAGGAGCUUGCUCCUCUGACGUUAGCGGCGGACGGGUGAGUAACACGUGGAUAACCUACCUAUAAGACUGGGAUAACUUCGGGAAACCGGAGCUAAUACCGGAUAAUAUAUUGAACCGCAUGGUUCAAUAGUGAAAGACGGUUUUGCUGUCACUUAUAGAUGGAUCCGCGCCGCAUUAGCUAGUUGGUAAGGUAACGGCUUACCAAGGCAACGAUGCGUAGCCGACCUGAGAGGGUGAUCGGCCACACUGUAUCUGAGACACGGUCCAGACUCCUACGGGAGGCAGCAGUAGGGAAUCUUCCGCAAUGGGCGAAAGCCUGACGGAGCAACGCCGCGUGAGUGAUGAAGGUCUUCGGAUCGUAAAACUCUGUUAUUAGGGAAGAACAAAUGUGUAAGUAACUAUGCACGUCUUGACGGUACCUAAUCAGAAAGCCACGGCUAACUACGUG